CGCCCAAAAAAACACAAGGGUGGGCAGAGGGGCGCUAGACGGGGGGCCAGAGUCCAGAACAACAAAAAACAACCCAUCAAGGUGGGCGGAGGCACAGGAAGGGCUAGAGUCCAAACAACAAAAGGAACCAACCCAACCAGGGUGGGCGGAGACGCAGGAGGCGGAACCCAUGGGGAAUGUCUGGAGGACGUCUGCGGCGCAGGGGUGCUUGGAGGCGGUUCCGGUGGGCAACGUCGGCGCAGGGGCGCUCUGGGGCCACCAGGAGGUGGCGGCAAGGAGUCUCUGGGAGGCAGCAGCAAAGAGUCUCUGGGAGGCUGAGGCUCGGGAGGGACACUAGGAGGCUGAGACUCAGACGGAGCGUUGGGGAACAAUGAAGGGCCACUAGGGGACAACAAAGGAACAAAGGGGGCACAAGAGGGUGACAAAGAAACACUAGGGGCACUAGGGAGCUCGGGAGGAACACUAGGGAACUCAGAAGGGGGACUACGAAGCUCAGAGGGGACGCUAGGAAACUCAGAGGGGAUGCUAGGAAGCUCGAAGGGGGCCGAGAACCCACUUGGGUGAACCUCGCCACUCGCCCGGAACGUUAGCUGGCAACAGCAGCCCUCCCGACCCCACUAGGGACAAGGGUGUUAGAAAAUGGAUGGAUGGAUUCAUAUAAAACUAUAUUGAAUGAGUCAGUUUUAUGAAUUUUUAUCUUGAAUAUUUUUCAGUUUAAAAAAGUUUACAGUACAAAAGAAAAUAAAAGUACAUCCAAUUACUUCCAGUGGUUUACACACAAGAGCUAACAAUGGUUUGUUUUGAGUAGGAAAGGAUGAAAGUAGGCGUGGUUUAGCUAGUUAGCGUGUGUGUCCUCAUUUAAAAAUCGUUUUAGUAGCUUAGCUAGUUUUAUUGAAAACUUGAAACAUGUAAGUGGUUUUAAGUGUAAUGGCAAACAUCUUACUUCUUUCUUUCUUACUUAAUUUAACAAAAAAUUUCCCCAUUAAUUUCUUUGUGGCAAUUUAUUAUGAUGUUUUCCCCCCAGUCUUCUGCUGAGCAAAUUGAAGUUUUGAAAUCACUCACAUCCACUGGAAUGGUUAAACACAAAUGGAAGUCAAACACUUUCAUUCUUCAUCAAAUUCAAAGUAAUUUCCAGUA